GAUCAUGGCUCAGGAUGAACGCUGGCGGCGUGCUUAACACAUGCAAGUCGAACGGAGAUGCCGGAGUGCUUGCACUUUGGCAGACUGAGUGGCGGACGGGUGAGUAACGCGUGGGUAACCUGCCUUAUACAGGGGGAUAACAGUUGGAAACGACUGCUAAUACCGCAUAAGCGCACGGUAUCGCAUGAUACAGUGUGAAAAACUCCGGUGGUAUAAGAUGGACCCGCGUCUGAUUAGCUUGUUGGUGAGGUAACGGCCCACCAAGGCGACGAUCAGUAGCCGGCCUGAGAGGGUGAACGGCCACAUUGGGACUGAGACACGGCCCAAACUCCUACGGGAGGCAGCAGUGGGGAAUAUUGCACAAUGGGGGAAACCCUGAUGCAGCGACGCCGCGUGAGUGAUGAAGUAUUUCGGUAUGUAAAACUCUAUCAGCAGGGAAGAUAAUGACGGUACCUGACUAAGAAGCACCGGCUAAAUACGUG
rnacentral:rRNA from 1 species